rnacentral:lncRNA from 10 species
GGAUCCACGGCCGCACAGCUAAACAGCAACCCCCUACCCGCUUCGUCUCCCUCCGCCGCUAUCGGGGCCUAAGCGGGAGCGGCUGGCACGGCGUCACUGGGUGGGCUGGGGCGGAAGUGGAGGCGGAGGGAGACGGUGGCGUCGUCCGCGGGGCCCUGGGCUCUCGCGGCGAGGCCCUGGUGGGCGCGAGGCAGGGGGAGGGGGAGGAGGAGGAGCCCGCGGCCCGGGCGGCGGCGGCUCUCGGGUUCUCCGUAGGGCCCCGCCUCGGAGCGGGCGGCGGCGGAGGAGGAGACUGAGGAGCAGGAUGGCGGCCUCGGCCCUGUACGCCUGCACCAAGUGUACCCAGCGUUAUCCUUUCGAGGAGCUCUCCCAGGGCCAGCAGCUCUGCAAGGUCCGUGGGCUCCGGGAGGCGGGCGGGAUGGGUGUCCUCGGCCGUAGCCGGAGGGGGCCGGGUAGCCGCUGCACUGCAGCCCCUCUUCGCCGGCGCCUCAGGGGUUUGGGAGUCUGGAGCCCUCGCCUCCCCACUCGGGGACCCCUUUUUCUGGGGGCUUGAACAUUAGCUGGGAACGGACCCUGAAAGGGAGGCAGAAUCGUGCCCUUUUCCAGGCGGCCCAGGAGGGUGCCGGGCCCCGUCAGCGUCUGGGGGUCUCAGGAGUGGGGUUGAGUGAGGCAGCCACCUGUCUAUGCCGCAGAGACCCAGGGGUGGAGAUGUUUUCAUCUCGGUUUUCUGCCUGGUCUGUCCUCUUCUUCCACCAGGAGGCAGGGGACGGUUUUUGCACUUUCUUGCUAGGAACCCGAAGCCGCAAAGCUGAUGGCAUCCUUCUUCCCUGUCCAGGAAAGCGAAGCGACUGGUUUGGGAACAGAAUGCUCUGAUUUGGAGCUCCUCCCAUCCCAUUAAAGCCUGGAUGCUGUCUGUGAGCAACGGUGCAAAAUAAUAAGUAGUUUCACAUUUAACCAAUCCUUGAAAUAGGCCCUGACAGCUUUCUUAAUUUGUCUGUAAUAUACCCCCACGUCUACUAAAGACAAAGACACCUGUGCCUUCCCUAAGGAAUUAUAUUGUGAUUGGCCACUUAUAUGAUAAAGCAUCCAGUUCUUUACGUUGGGGCCAGGUUUUAUAAAUGUUUUAGACUUUCACUAGGUUGGGUAAACAGUUUUCUACCAGAAAAGUGAGAUUUGGGACUUUCAGAAAGAUACUGACUAAUGUAUUGUCUUAUUACAGGAAUGUCGGAUUGCACAUCCUAUUGUAAAAUGUACUUACUGCAGAUCAGAAUUUCAACAAGAGAGCAAAACUAACACAAUUUGUAAGAAGUGUGCUCAAAAUGUGAAGCAAUUUGGGACGCCCAAGCCUUGUCAGUACUGUAACAUAAUUGCAGCAUUUAUUGGUACCAAGUGUCAGCGUUGCACAAAUUCAGAAAAAAAGUAUGGACCACCUCAGACCUGUGAACAGUGCAAACAGCAAUGUGCUUUUGAUCGGAAGGAGGAAGGAAGAAGAAAGGUUGAUGGAAAGUUAUUAUGCUGGCUCUGUACUUUAUCGUACAAAAGAGUUUUACAGAAGACGAAAGAACAAAGGAAGAGCCUGGGAUCUUCACAUUCAAAUUCAUCUUCUUCAUCUCUUACUGAGAAAGACCAGCAUCAUCCAAAACAUCAUCACCACCAUCAUCACCAUCACCAUCGUCACAGCAGUAGCCAUCACAAAAUCAGCAAUCUAAGUCCAGAAGAAGAGCAGGGACUGUGGAAACAGAGCCAUAAAUCCUCUGCAACAAUUCAGAAUGAAACUCCAAAGAAAAAGCCCAAAUUGGAAUCUAAGCCAUCUAAUGGAGAUAGGUGUAUGUAAUGUGUGCCAUUAGUAAGGUAAUUUGCCAGUUGCAUCCAUUUCUGUCAGCUCUAUAAAUCAGUCAGCAGAUAGUGGGGGAACAGACAAUUUUGUCCUUAUAAGUCAAUUGAAAGAAGAAGUGAUGUCACUUAAGCGUCUCUUACAGCAGAGAGACCAGACCAUUUUAG